rnacentral:misc_RNA from 1 species
UCAUUAUCAGCUGGUAGCUGCUAGCUGCCUGCUGCCAUAUGACUGUCAAUUCUUAAAUAAUAAAAAGCCAAUAAUUGAAAUUCAAUUCAAUCAAAACAGACUGUUAAUAAGUACAUACUUUAUAAGAGAUAAAACUUUCAGAGUUCAUAGAAAUGCUGAUUGAAAUGUGUUUAAAUAUAUAAUAUAAACGAACGAAUAAAAGCAAAAGAUUAUAUAACAUAAAUAAUGGCAUUUAAAAAGAUAUUAAUUGGAGGAGGAACUGGUUUCAUUGGUCAGCACCUUGGUGAGAUGUUAAGUAAAACUAACUACCGUGUAGUAAAUGUGUCUCGAAUGCCCAGUGCUAAUGCAAUAUCUUGGACUGCAGUAGAAUCUGGAUCUAUUGGCCAUGCUCAUGCUGUUGUUAACCUUGCUGGUCAGCAAACUAUGGAUUUUACUAGGAGGUGGACGGCAGGAUUCAAACAAAAUGUAAGAAACUCUAGAGUAUUUACCACUAAGUCUCUAGCAGCAGCUAUCAAUAAAAGCAACGACAAGCCAAAAGUAUUUGUUGUGGUGACUGGUGUUGGAGCAUAUGAACCUUCGGAAACUAAGAAGUACAAUGAAUCUAGUCCAUCAACUGGAAAAGACUUCUUUUCACGAUUAUGUGUGGAAUGGGAAGCAGCAGCUAAAGUAGAUCCACCUGUGCGACUAGUUAUAAUUCGAUCAGGUGUGGUCCUCGGCCGCGAUGGGGGCAUGGUGAAAAACAUGAUUUUACCAUUCUUCUUUGGACUCGGUGGCCCGCUGGGUUCCGGGAAACAAUACUUACCCUGGAUACAUGUUGAAGAUUUGUGCCGUCUUAUAACUUUCGCUAUAGAAAAUGAUGAAGUGAAUGGCAUAUUGAAUGGUGUUGCCCCUCAAGUCAUUACAAAUGGAGAAUUUACGCAGGCAUUUGCAAAAGCGCUAUCAAGACCAGCAUUCCUGCCAGCUCCUGAAUUUGUUCUGAACUUGCUUCUCAAUGAAGAAAGAGCAAUGCUUAUGACAAAGGGACAACACGUCACACCGAAAAGAGUUUUAGAUUAUGGCUUCAAAUAUAAAUACGAUAAUAUCGAUGCGGCCUGCAAAGAAUGCGCGCAUUUGUUCCCGAAUAAGUAAUAGAUCUUAAUAUCAUGGCUAAGUGGAUGUUAAUUAAUACGAAUAAAGUGUGAUCAAUAAAAAUCAAUCUUUGCAUUGCAUAUGCUUCUAUUUUUAUGUGGUUCGCCUGACGGUAAGGUUGAUUGCAGACCUUACACCUCUACAAAUGGAUUUCCGACUUUAAAUUGGAAAGAGAUUAAUAAAGGAUUUGCUAGAAGAAUAAAAGACUAGGACGGGCCGGUCUUUUGUGGAGGUGAGGUACUUCCUCGUAGGAACGACUACCACAAACAGAAGCAGUCUAUGCCCGCUUUUAAGGGAUAAGAAAGCUAUUGACGACUGGAAUAGAGGAAUGGACGGGGAAAGUAGAGAGAUGCGGCUCCCUGUACUCAUCAUAAAACAUAGUAGCAUUCACAUACUAUUAUUUAACACCGAAAAUCACAUCUUCGUACAAUAAGUGACAUUAAAAAAAUAUUUGUUUUAUAGAUAAUAAUUGUUUGCAUUAAAUGAGGGCCCAUAUUGAGUAAUUGUUUGGUAAUUUUAAAUGUCAUCUUAAAAAAAAAAUGUUUGUAAUAUUAUUCUGAUGUUAGUAGAAUCCAAAGAUUUUGUAUAUUUUCGCUUUUGGUAGAAUCUAAUAAUAUGUUGAACAAUAAAAUCUAGUGACAUUAAAUAAAAUGAAUUACAACGUCACUAUAUUAUGUAAGUAUCACAGCUUUUAUUUUGCUUAUAACAGAAACAUAUGAAAAAGUAUUGGGUUUUUUCGUUUCUUAAUUUUGUAUCAUUGUUAUGCUGUUUUUAUUUAUAAAUAAAGGAGUUUUGA